rnacentral:rRNA from 1 species
AACGAACGCUGGCGGCAGGCUUAACACAUGCAAGUCGAACGCCCCGCAAGGGGAGUGGCAGACGGGUGAGUAACGCGUGGGAAUCUACCGUGCCCUACGGAACAACAGUUGGAAACGACUGCUAAUACCGUAUACGCCCUACGGGGGAAAGAUUUAUCGGGGUAUGAUGAGCCCGCGUUGGAUUAGCUAGUUGGUGGGGUAAAGGCCUACCAAGGCGACGAUCCAUAGCUGGUCUGAGAGGAUGAUCAGCCACAUUGGGACUGAGACACGGCCCAAACUCCUACGGGAAGCAGCAGUGGGGAAUAUUGGACAAUGGGCGCAAGCCUGAUCCAGCCAUGCCGCGUGAGUGAUGAAGGUCUUAGGAUUGUAAAGCUCUUUCACCGACGAAGAUAAUGACGGUAGUCGGAGAAGAAGCCCCGGCUAACUUCGUGCCAGCCGCCGCCGUAACAC